CUGUUUUUUCUUUACAUUCAUCAAAUAUUCAGGGUUUCUCUUGUCAAUAAGAGCUAUCUUCUGUGUUACAAAUCUUGUUCUUUCUGAAGGUAAGGCAGUCUGUGAUGUACAUCAUUAUACUGUUAUGGUGAUUUGAUCUUUAAUAUAUUUGAGUUUUCUGUAAAUAGUUGCAUAUGAGCUGGCUUGAUGAUCAUCAUUUCUAGGAAAGAGAGCUAAUCUUUUUCUAUUUUGUUGUGAAAUAUAUCGUUGAUCAUUGUCUGUUCAGAUGGUUCAUGAAUUGUGGAAUCUUGUCAACAGAGAGAGACUAUAUUACAAAUGUAUUGGUAACAUAUCUGAGAUAUCCUGGUUCUUAGAGCAGAUGUUUUGAGGGUGUUAUCUUUGGAAUGUUUCAAGUAGAAGUCACUGAAUUAUGUUGAUGGGUGUCAUGUUAUAGCUAAGCCUUACAACAUGGGGAAAAGUAUUCUCUUUUAGAAAUAAUCCUAGCGUAAUGAGGACAAAAAAUUUGAGACAGUAGAAACUUAAAACACAGGAGGGUUUAAUCAGUAAAGAAACCAUCGAGCUAUGAUGUUUGUGUCCUAGUGUUCUAAAAUAUUGUUAGCUAGAAAAAAGUCAAAGGCUAGAGAUAAAACGCAUUGUUAAGUGUUUUUUCAGAAAACUGUAAAAAGAAUGUUUUUAUUAGAUUGCUAAUAUAAAAUGGUAACCUUUAAUGGUUGUCAGGUGUUUGGUAAGGAACAAUCUCAAAGUGAUUACCUUAAUUUUGAUAUGAUCACUCACCUUCAUACACAGAUUAUCUAUUUUCUUCUUGAAGUCAUACUUUACUGCUUGAGAGACUUGCAUGCGACCAGCCUUGUGAAACUUCCUCAUAAAAUGCACAUGAAAACACGAGAAGUUGUGCUACUCCAUGAUGAUGUAUCUUGUAGCAAAACACUCUAUCAAUAGGAAUGUGAUCCAUGUGUAAUUUUUUAAGUAUUUUACUUCAACUGCUUUGUGUUUUGAACCUUUCAAUAUGAAUUUCCAAAUUAAUGUGAAUUUGUUUUUUGCUGAAGUGAGUACAAAUAUAAGUCACAGUUACCAACAAUUUAGGAAGUUCUUUGUUUGUUGAGAUUGUGAAAGCCAUCACCAAACAUGUGGUGGGGGCCCAUGUUGCCACCUGGAACUCUUUCUUCUGUCCCUGCCAAACAUUUCCCUUCACAGAAUUAUGAAGCUAAAGUUGAAGAAGGGGAAAUGGAGCAAUUUUUUCCACCAAAUACUUCUCUAGCUAAUGUAUGUCUUUUGACUUUUCCCAUCCAUCUUAAAUAUACCUUCUACCUGUAGUUUAUUUUCUUCUCCUGACCAGUUAGUUCCACACCAGGUGUUUCCUUCAGGAUUAACUUCACUCCUACUGUUUUAUGCCUCAUCCUCCUGGCCUUAUCAGAUAACCCAUAGAAGUUGCUGUUCAGAUCUACUUUAUUCCUCCUUCACACACAUAGCUCAUAGGACUUAAAGUUUAGAAGUCAUUUAUUACUCAUUAACAUAUACCAAUUAGUAUAUUAUGUUUAGUCAUAGCUCAUCACUCCUUCAUGUAACACAUAGAUGUCGAUAUUUUAUUCUGGUUGAUUACUCCUUAACAUGUCCACAUAUAAGGUAAUGUCUGCUCUAGUUCAUUACUUCAUCACAUGCACACAUGGAAAUUUGUUUUUAUCAUGGCAGGGAUUCACUUGUUAUGGGAAAGGACCUUUCUCCAAUUGGGGUGUAUCCCUCUUUAUCCCACUUGCAUAAAUUAGUUUAUUUGACACAUGUGAAAGAUUAUUGUAGAUUGUUAUAAUAGAGUUGGAGUUAUGAGUAAGGCAAAAAUGGUUUUUGGUUGUGUUAUGCAGUUUGUCAUAUGGCAGAGUUGAGGCAGUGGCUAAAUUGAGGUAAUCAGUGGACAGAAGUAAAGUGACAAUGUUCGACAAACCAUGCAGAAGGAAACAUCCCAUAGCCAGGGUCGCAAAGUGGCUGGGAUCUAUAAAUCCAAUGCUGGAAAAAAAAAACUUCUAUAGGGCAGGUUCUGAAAAAUCUAUCUGUUCUAUACCCAGGCUGAAAAGAAACACAUAAAUAAAGUUAAACAUAUCAGUAUGUGCAUUAUGUGUGUGCAGUUGCAAAGUGUUGUGAUGUAAUAUCUAUGUUGAUUUAGAGAUUAGAUAUUUGUUGUAUGGGAAGAUUGUUUUGAGUGCCUGACUUAGUGUGUAGAGAUGCUAUUAGAGUAGUGGUUUUCAACCUUUUCUUGGUCAAGGAAUCCAGCAAGUAGCAGGUAAUAUUUUCUGGAACCCCAUCUUCUCUAUCCAUUAUUUCCUCUUCUUUUAUAAACAAACUUAUGAUAAAUGAAGAAGAAAAAACAAAUUAGUAAUAAGUAAUUUAUAUAACAGCUACACAAUUCAAUUACAAAUUAGUAAUAAGAAAAAAAAAUAUCCAUCAUUACUUUCACUUACAAAAUACCGUGAAAUUCUAUAUUUUGAUUUUAAUUCCAAAUAAAAAAUGUUUACAAAAAAGAAGAUAAAGAUAACUUAAACAUUUGUAGAGAAAAAUAGCUUUUUAGUGUGAAAUUUGAGAUUGAUUUCUUGGCCAAAUCAUUGACAGGCACACUCAAAGUUCUUCUUCGAUUGAUAAAAGUUGUUCUUUUUUUUUUUGACUUUCCAUAUUAGUAAGAGCAUAAGAUCAAAAUUCACAAAGAUAAGUAGUUGAAAAUUGGAGCAGAAUUGUCACUGCCUUCUUUCUGAUGUUGGGAUAUUCAUUUUCAACUCCAAUCCAAAAUGGAUCAAAAUCAAGUCCUGAAUAUUUCAGUUUCAGUGUUCUGUCAUGCAGGAUAUAUGUCAACUCUUCUUCUCGUGAGUGAGCUGUUCUGUACUGUUUUGCAAAAAUACGUGAUUUUGUUGUUUCAGGGUAGCUCUUUACAGCAAAGAAAUUAUUAAAUUCUUACUCCUUUGUUAACAAAAAGUAAGAAUACUAAAAGCUGUGCUUUACAACCUAUAUCUGUGGAUUAAUCCACUUGAAGUGCAAAGAACUCACACUUUUUAGCUUAUCAAUAAUAUUAUUUUCAAUAUCAGGUGACAUAUUAGUAAUUCUACUACCUAUGGUGUUGUCAAUUUCCCACUGUGCUUCUUUUCCCAAGAUUAUCUUCACUACUGCUCAACAGGCAGGUAAAAUCAGGGAUUCAGCAAUAAUCCAAAACAUACAUACCUCCGCUGACACUAAUAGCUAUUUCUCGAUUUUCAUCUUUACCGUCUAACGUUGUGUUUGCUUGCUCCAGUCUUUACAUACCCCCUCCACUGCCCUUGGCAAUAUCUAAUUUGCAAAACUUUACCCUGGCCCUCACACCCCCUCUGUGCAGGUACUGUAUAUAAGCAUUGUAUGCAGACAAUAAAAUCACUUUUUCUCAAUAAAGCGCGAGCAUUCAGACUAACAUUUUGUGAUUUACAUUUUCUUAGUUUCUGCUUUUUUAAUAAUUGGGAUUUCUUUGUUUUGUUAUCCAGAGAUAUAUUUCAUUGAAUUUGUUUUUUUCCUACAAAUAUGUUACAAAAAGAAAUUGGAUAUGAAUACCCAUGUAACAGUUUCAAGUAAAGAGGCUACUCAGAUUUGAGAUGAGAUUGAGUCCUUCAUGUGGCCUAGGUGUAUUUCUUUGGAAGGUACUGAUUUGAAUUUUCAUUCUUAAUUGGGAUAUUCUGGGGAGAAUUUAAACUCCCUGUUUCCUGCUCCUUCUUUCAUUAGAGCUUCCUCUCCUGAGGACUCAUCUGAUCAGUCACCUUCUGCCCCUUUUUCUUUGUGAAGUUUUGGAGAUACAACCAGUUGCUUUUGAGUCUACCCCUGCUUUGUUGUCCAAUCGUUCUCAAAGGGAUUAUUUAGUUUUCCUCCUUCUCCUGAUAUUGCUGUGCAUGCAGGAAGGUUUGCAACACAAUUAUGUGAAGGUGUUGCUAUGCCUUCCCUCCCUCGUUUAUCGGAACAACAUGCCCUGUCGUAUCAUCAUCAGGAUGAUAUAUAUUUGGACACUCAAAGGUUGAAUCCGAUGUUGGAUCUAUGGGGGGUGCCAAGUAUGAACCUGUUAUCUCUCUUAACAGGUCACAGUUUUCAUGGAUUCGUUUGACUCUUACUACUGUUUUAAGAUACUUUUCUUCCCUUCAACUUUUGUCUGAGGCCUAUCACCAAUUGCCUCAACAUAUUGAUGAUGAACUGGGCCAUUUACUGGUCACUGUUAUGACAUAUUUGUCCUCUUCAGGACUUGCCUUGGUGUUGUUGUUGGUCUGUUGCUGGGACUUGUUGAGUCAUGAUGCAUUUUUGGAGGGUAUUCACUUACCUUAUGCUUUUUGAGAUUUCUGGGAAGGACCUUUUCUUCGGCCUUAUUUAUUUGCUGGAAUUCCAGAAUCUUUAGAAGCCAGAGUUAAUAUAGCAUGUUUGCAGUCUUCUUUAUCGUCUUUGGCUGCUCAACCCUAUUCUACUUCCAUUUGUACUUCUGCAUGUUCAUAUCCUCAUGUCUCAAGGUCCCCUCCUUCCACUCCUCCUUCAUUGGUUCUCUUAAUCAUUUCUGUCCUUAUUCUCGGGAGAUAUUUUGCGGGCCAGUAUGUGGACUUGACCCGACACGUUCAUAUCUCAUUAUCUUCAAGAUCUGACAGUUUCCUCUUCGAAGGGACUUCAUCUUUCCCCCGUGGCUGUGUUGACUACUAGAUUUAACAGGUUGGUGAGUAAUGUGUUAUCUGACUUACAGUUAUUAUUCCUUUCUCUUCUAGGGUCCCUAUUGGUUUUUUUUUUUUUUGCUCAGUCGGGUAUGCUUGUAUUUAAGUUCUGCACAAGCAACUUUUAUAUCGGUUCCUGGUUGCAAUGAGCUCUGUCGAGAUGAGAUGUUCCAUAAGACCAUAUGGAUGCAAUUCUGGAUGGUGGUAUUAUAUUACAAUGUUUUUGAUGGACUGCUACUCAUGGACUAUUAUGAGUAAAGCAAAGGGGAUUUUGCCAAUCCCUGCUGAUCUUAGAGCUGAAUCAGUCGAGAUCAGUUUGCUUUUAAAAAUUAGGGAACGUGGUUCACCUGUUGUACUGUCUCUGGAGACCUGUUCCUCAGGACUCCCCAGUGCUUAUGUUCCCCCCUUACAUCUACUAGUGGAGCUCGGGAGUCCUUACCAGACUCAGUUCCUAGUUGCUGGGGUGUUGGACAAAGAAUUUGUGUUUGGAGUGUUGAGUUUUCUUCACUCUUGGAGAAGAGGCAGAAUUCUUCUUGCCCACUUGGUGGGGGAGUAAAGACAACUGUUUGUAAAUCCAGACUGGAUGAGUUCUGGACUUUGGUGGAAUAUGGCAUAUGAUCCCAUCAAUCCAGACCUGGGAUGUUGCCUUUUGGACUUCUUUAGGUUGAUCAGAAGGGUUGUCCACUUUGUUUUUGCUUUCUUUCUUUCAUAAAUUCGGUAGUUUGAAACACAUCAUUCUGUAGUUAUUAGUGUCAGUGGAGGUAUGUAUGUUUUGGAAGUUAUCAUUUUCCUAAACUGAAAAUGUAUUUCCAAACAUACUUACCUCUGCUGUAUUAAUAUAUGGGCUUUCAUUUCUUUAGCAGUGAGAUCAGCCACAAGAUAACUUGCCUCUUGAGCUUUAUCACUUUGUCUUUUCAGAUGCUGAGGCUUGGUUUUUUUCCUAGCUCAGAAGUCUCAUAAAAUAUUCCUCAUUUUUGCGGGCUAAGUGUCCAUGUUUACUUGAAAAGUGCCAUUGUAACUUGGAUGGUGCCAUGGCAGUGUUUGCCAGCCUUUCUCCACAAUGAAUACACAGUGGUAGAGGGCACUAAAUAGAUAGCUCCCAAUAUAUUAGUGAACUUUGCAUUGUUGUAAGGUUGUGCUGCUAGUACUUGAUUUUACUGAAUUUUCUUGACUUUCAAAAUGUGCCACUUCUUCAAUUUGAUUGAUUGAUUGAGGUUUCUUACUAAGAAACUUAUUCAUUUCUUUUAAGCUACUUUGCAGAAAAAAUCUGUUAUAAUAUUUUUUAAACCAAUACUUUAUUUAUUUAGGAUAACAGACCAAAAAUGCACAGCAUAAAAUAAUAAUAAACCCUAAAAACAACACUAGGACAGUAAAAUUGGGUAUAGCUAGCUCAAAAACAGGUGUUGACCUCAAUUAAAUAGGUAUCACAUUAGAGCUUUUCUUUAAAUUUUGCUACAUAUUAUGGUCAAUCAUGACUUCAGGUCCUGAAAUGCCAUUGGUCAAGAAAAUGACACAUCGUGUACUAAAAAUGACUAAUCUACAUAUAUGAAAAUAUUCCACUAAGAGUGGUUGUGAAUUUGGGACAACAAAGGAACUGCAUCAACUGCAAGUAGGUUUGUGACAGGAAAACACUGGAACCUCAUUUAGAAGUUGGAUUUACAUCCCCAUAAGAAUGAGAAGCUCACUUUAAUAGUUAGGAUAAAAAAACAUCUGCUAGUUACAGAAUUUGUGGAACCCCAGUUGAAAAAUACUACAUUAGAGUGUUUCUUGUUCCUGCUUUGUGAUGGUAGUUAUUUGUGAGGGUUGUUAGUCUAUCAUUGAUUGGGGACAGACUGCAUAUUUUAUGUAUGUACUUAAUGGGAAUAAACCUUGGGGCUAAUCUUAGAAUUCUGUUUUGCUGUAAUUGAAGUAUGUUACAAAUGCUUUGGGGCAUGUUGAAAGUGACUUGGCAACCAUAUUCAAUUACUGAGCAGGUAUAUGCUUUGUAAAUUUUCAAAUUGUUGGGGGGUUUAUAACCUUUGUUUUUUCCUGCUAUGAGUGUCAGAAAAGUAAUUUGUUUACUGGUGGAUUUAUUUAUGUUUUUGAAAUGUUAAAUCCCAGUGAGGUGGGUGUCACAAGUAAUACCAAGAAACUUGGUGCAGAAGCAUAUUUUUUUACCUGAUUUUAGUAUUUUUUAAUAUUUUGAACUGUUUGUUUAAACUGGAAUGAAAGAUAACACUCUGAGUUUUAAAUGGGUUAAGUAGUACUCACCAGUCAUUUCACCAGCUGAUGAUUACAUCUAGAGAUUUUUAAACUCUGUCAGUAGCUGUUUGCUAAGUACUCAAUACGCUCCAAACAGCAAUAUCAUCAGCAUAUUGUGAGAAAUAUGUGUUAGGUCAGGAAACAGUAUGUUGUUCACAAACAGAAUAUAGAGGAGUGGGGAAAUGACUGAGCCUUGCAGAACUCCUGCUGAGAUGUUGAAUGAUUUUAACAAAGUAUUAUUUAUUUUUGCUACAGUUGAUCAGUUUGGUAGAAAAUUUGAGAUCCAUCUGAUUAUUAUAUUGUUUACUUUCAUAUCAUGAAGGUGGUAUCUGAUGGCAUUUUGCCAGCUGGUAUCAAAGGCUUUUUUGACAUCUAUGAAUACAGCUAAGGUUACUUGGUUAUCGAUAAAGGACUUAUAGACUGAUUCUGUGAGUCUAGAUAGGUGAUCUAUGGUUUAUCUUCCUUUGUUGGAAAAGUUUUGGAUGUUUUUUGAUAGCUACGAAUACAGCUAAGGUUACUUGGUUAUUAUCAAAGGACUUAUAGACUGAUUCUGUGAGUCUAGAUAGGUGAUCUAUGGUUUAUCUUCCUUUGUUGGAAAAGUUUUGGAUGUUUUUUGAUAGCUACGAUUACAGCUAAGGUUACUUAGUUAUUAUUAAAGGACUUGUAGACUGAUUCUGUGAGUCUGGAUAUGUGAUCUAUGGUUUGUCUUCCUUUGCAGGAAAAGUUUGGGAUGUUCGGAAGUAGGUUGUUGUUUUCAUUAAAAAGAAGUAAUCAGUUGGAUACUAUCCAUUCUAGGAGUUUGCUUAAGCAGCUUAGAAGAUUGAUUGUUCUGAAAUUUUUGGGGUUGGAGCUGUUUGAUGUGGUUUUAGGGAUGAUUAUAAUAGUGGCUUUUUUGCAUGAGUCAAGUUAACAUUCUGUUAAUAGUGAUAAGUUUAUAAUGUUGAAUAAGUACAUUAGUAGUUUAUCUGAUGCAUUUUUGAGAAUUAUGUAUUAUGUAUGUGGUUUUAGGGAUGAUUAUAAUAGUGGCUUUUUUGCAUGAGUCAAGUUAACAUUCUGUUAAUUGUGAUAAGUUUAUAAUGUUGAAUAAGUACAUUAGUAGUUUAUCUGAUGCAUUUUUGAGAAUUAUGUAUUAAAUAUCGUCAUGUCCAAGGAAUGAGUUUUAAGAGAUUUUAUUUUAAUUUUUAGGUUACUUUUGGUGAUUUUUUCUUUUAGACAUGUCAGUGUUAUUGAUGAAUAUAGUUUCAUUGAUAUUAGUAGCUGGAAAUUGUGGAAUGUAUAACUCCAGCCUUGUAGAGGUGUGAUUGUCAACCUUUUGUUUGAGAGGUUGACUAAAGGAAGGAGAGUUGGUGUCUGAGAAGGAAUUUGAAUAGUAGUCAGCGAGUAGGUUGGCUUUGUCAAUGUCAGUCUUGGUAACUGCUCAAUGUGAUGAAACAAAUUAUUAUUUUCAUCAGAUGAAAGUGAUCUGAAAUUUUUACAGAAUUCUUUUGAUUGAUUGUGUUUAUUUCCUAAUAAGUUAUGAAAAUGUGGCCAGUUGUCAAUUUUUAAGACUUCGAUCUUUCUUUUCAUUAGCACAUGCAGCCAAUUGAUUUGAAGUUUGAGUGCAGUGUCAUGAGUUGUCAUAAAUAAUCUUCUAAAUCACCUUUGUUCAAGUGUUAGAUGGUGUAUUUCAGGAGUAAACAUCCAGUUGUGAAGUGCAGAACCUUUACAGGUGAAAGGGAUUAUUGUCUGUGUAGUCUUGGAAAUGACUUUAGUAAUAUCAUUUACAUAAGCAUCUAGGUCAUCUUUACAGGAAGCAGUGUUGGCUGGAUUGAGUAAGUGUGUUGAAACUUUUCCGGUCAGUCUUGGUGUAGUUAUUUACUGGUGGUAGUUUGGUUAAUCCAGAUGUUUUGUUUGUUGAUUUGUUUUGUAAAGGAAAUUGGUUGCUAGACACUGCAGGGUGUACUAAGAAGUUCUAGAACAUAGUUAAAAGUGUAGUGGUGAUUAUCAUUAUAAUGGAUCAGUGUGUUGUCAUUUAUGGCAUGCAUGUUGUUGCUUUCAAGAAGCAAGUAAAGAGCUAAUCCUCUAGAGUUAGUACAAAGGCUGUGAAAGUUAGUGUGGGGAGACAUUAAAGUUUCCCACAAUAAAUGGUAUGGGCUGUCUAUUCAAACAGAUUUGCAAAUACCUAAUGUCAAGUGGUUUACUUGGAGACAGUGGUGGACUGGGUCUAAAAUUUCUACUGGGAAAACUUGUAAAAGGGCCCACUUAAUCCCAAAACGUAGUCAAAGGAAUCAAAUAAAAGUAAAGGUUUUAAGCAAAUAAAAUGUUACAUAUAUUCAAUAUUGUUGUAUUUAUUUAUGUUAAUGUGUGCCUAAUACAAAUACUAGAAAAUUUUAAUAAUCUUAUAAUAAAAAGAAAAUCUCAAUCAUAGAACAACCAAUCCGAGUAAUUUACAAACCAUAAUUUGAAAUUGUUUUCAAAGUAUAAUUAAAAUUGGAACAUGUGCUUUUUUUAAUGUGUGCACAUAUCACUAAAACAGUCAAAAUUCUGUAAUUUACAAAGCACAAAUCACCCAGACAGCAAGCAAUCUAGAAAACUGUGUCAAUUUUUUCACAAGGAAAGGAAUAAUAUCAUCCACAGCAAUUUCAGAAAGUAAAUCUUUUUCGAUGCCCAUCAGCAUAAAAGUUUCAAGUAGCUCAUUUGAUAGCGAAGGUUUUUACAAUUUUCAACUUACUGAAUGUGCAUUCGCAACUGACUUGUGUGAACGACAGGGUCAAAAGAUGUUUGUAAGCUAAGAACAAAUUCGAGUAUGCAGAUGCGUGCAAAUACUUAAAUAGGAUACGGAAACAGUAAAGCAGGCACUUCCUACACGAUAUUCCAGAAGUGCAACGUGAACCUGAAAUUACAUCAAAGUGAGUUUGAAGUAUCUGUUCUGAUUCUAGGUGUCUGGUUGUUGCAAACUCUUCAUUAAAAUUUUUCGAAAGGCUGUUGAAGGUUAGGAUGAAAGACUGCAAUUCAUUGCUCAGUUCCUGCUUGCCCAAACCAAGACGAUUGCAUAUGUUUUUCAGUGCUUCUGGUGGCAAUCCAUCUUCUUUGAGUUCUUGGAAACGACGUGGAUCAAAACACGCUGUGUCAGUUACAAGUUCACGGUUGUUAGAAAAAUGUCCAAUAAUACUCGACGAAACACUUCCACCCUGUAGCGACCCACUGAAUCAUCACUUCUUUCAUCCGGGGAAUCAUCCCUCUGGAGUUCACCAGGCAUUCAUCUCUUUUUUUUGAUGUUCUCAUCUUUUUGGAUUCCCCUUCUUUUGCAAAAUUAGUUUCUUCAUCAUCGUCAAACAUUUGAUUUGCUGCCUCAAUGAAAUUUCUGAGCACCAUUAUUUCCAGUGAUAGACCAUCACUUUGGGGCCCACCGGGAAAUUUCCCGGUAUCCCGGUGGGCCAGUCUGCCACUGCUUGGAAAAUAAUACAUGGCCAGGAAGGAAAUAGUUUGUAUAUUGUUAAUGUGUAGGUUGCAAAAGAUUCUGUCGUUGAUCUUUGAACUUAUUUCUGUGAAAUGCAAUGUGUCACACUUUGUUUGAAAAUAAUUGCAAUUCCUCUAUCAUCAUUGGUUACAGUUCUAGUGUAUGACUUAAAGCCAGGAAUGUUUAUAUUUGUGUCUUCUUUUACAAGAGUUUCAGCUGUGAUGAUUAUAUCAGCUUCGAUGUUGCUUUUUAAAACGAGAAUUUCGAUUUCAAGUUCAAUUAAUUUUGUCCAUUCGUAAUCUAUUAUAGAUAUUCUUUGAAUGUUUUAUUUCACUGUUUUUCUUUUCAUUUCAGAAAAAGUUAAAUGAAAAACUUCUGUAAUUCUCUGUAUAUUUAUUUUAAUGUUUUCAGUGUAAAAUCUAAAUGUUUAUGUAAUGUAUUGUGCAGUUAAGUAAUUGUAGUCCAAUGAGUUCUUGGUCCAGGAACAUUUUGUAAUUAUAUCAAUGUAUAAUAAACCUCAUUGCUUUUCUA